rnacentral:sRNA from 1 species
UUUAAAACUUAUGAAAGGUGAUAAUAAUAAGAUGCAAGACGGUGAUUGGAGAUUUGAUGAACUUGAAGAUCUCUAGCAGUUGACAAUAAAGCGACCACGUGAGUAUCCCUGACCGUUAGUUCAAAUAGCCGUUAGUACACUAAUCAAUGAUUCUCACCGUCCUUUGUGUUUCCGUCGCAGUAUUCGUCACCUGCGUUUGCGUUUUUGAAAUUAUUCUGUAUCAAAAAUUGUAAUAGGAUACAUUACACGUGAUUUUAAUUUUACUAAGUGAGUAUCAACGCUACGCGUGGGUUUGUUUUGAAAAUUGUUAAAAAAAAAUUACAUUGAUUGUUCUUUAUGUUAAUUUCUAUUUACUAUUUGUUUAUU